rnacentral:rRNA from 1 species
GCAAGUCGAGGGGUAACAUUGUAUCUUUCUACAGAUGACUACCGGCGAACGGGUGCGUAACGCGUAUAGAAUCUGCCUUUUACAUGAGGAUAGCCUUUAGAAAUGAAGAUUAAUACUCCAUAAUGCUAAUAUGUGGCAUCACAAAUUAGUUAAAGAUUUAUCGGUACAAGAGGACUAUGCGUCCUAUUAGCUAGAGGGUAAGGUAAAGGCUGACCAUGGCAACGAUAGGUAGGGGGUCUGAGAGGAUGAGC